AUUGAACGCUGGCGGCAUGCCUUACACAUGCAAGUCGAACGGUAACGCGGGGCAACCUGGCGGCGAGCGGCGAACGGGUGAGGAAUACAUCGGAACGUACCCGAGAGUGGGGAUAACGCCGCGAAAGCGGCGCUAAUACCGCAUAUUCUCUGAGGAGGAAAGUGGGGGACCGCAAGGCCUCACGCUCACGGAGCGGCCGAUGUCGGAUUAGCUAGUUGGUGGGGUAAAGGCUUACCAAGGCGACGAUCCGUAGCUGGUCUGAGAGGAUGAUCAGGCCACACUGGGACUGAGACACGGCCCAGACUCCUACGGGGGGCAGCAGUGAGGAAUAUUCGGCAAUGGGGGCAACCCUGACCGAGCAACGCCGCGUGGAGGAUGACGGUUUUCGGAUUGUAAACUCCUUUUCUCAGGGAAGAGCGAGGACGGUACCUGGGGAAUAAGUCACGGCUAACUACGUG
rnacentral:rRNA from 1 species